rnacentral:rRNA from 1 species
UACGUAGGUGGCAAGCGUUGUCCGGAAUUAUUGGGCGUAAAGCGCGCGCAGGCGGUCCUUUAAGUCUGAUGUGAAAGCCCUCGGCUCAACCAAGGAAGUGCAUCCGAAACUGCUGAGCUUGAGUACUUAAGAGGAUCGCGGAAUUCCCGGUGUAGAGGUGAAAUUCGUAGAUAUCGGGAGGAACACCAGUGGCGAAGGCGGCGAUCUGGGAAGAUACUGACGCUGAGGUGCGAAAGCGUGGGGAGCAAACAGG